rnacentral:tRNA from 1 species
AGGUUUCGACCGGACUCGAACCAGCAACCUAAGGCUCUGCAGGCCUCCGCUCUACCAUUGAGCUACAAAACC